rnacentral:rRNA from 1 species
AGCUCCAAUAGCGUAUAUUAAAGUUGUUGCGGUUAAAAAGCUCGUAGUUGGAUCUCGGCGAACAGGGGGCGGUUCGUUAUUUGACGGUACUGCCCCAUUUGUUCGUAUUUUUGCAAGAGGAUUGGGGGUCCCCUUUGUUGGGUGUCUCCGGUCGCUUGCAGGUUUACUUUGAAAAAAUUAGAGUGCUCAAAGCAGGCUUACACGCUUGAAUAUUCGUGCAUGGAAUAAUAGAAUAGGAAGUCGUUUCUAUUUUGUUGGUUUUCGGAAAAUGACUUAAUGAUUAAUAGGGACAAUCGGGGGCAUUAGUAUUCAAACGACAGAGGUGAAAUUCUUGGACCGUUUGAAGACUAACUACUGCGAAAGCAUUUGCCAAGAGUGUUU